CCUACGGGAGGCAGCAGUGAGGAAUAUUGGUCAAUGGGCGUAAGCCUGAACCAGCCAAGUCGCGUGAGGGAUGAAGGUUCUAUGGAUCGUAAACAUCUUUUAUAAGGGAAGAAAGUGUGGGACGUGUCCUAUUUUGUAUGUACCUUAUGAAUAAGGAUCGGCUAACUCCGUGCCAGCAGCCGCGGUAAUAAGGAGGAUGCGGGCGUUAUCCGGAUUUAGUGGGUUUAAAGGGUGCGUAGGCGGCCUUUUAAGUCAGCGGUGAAAGUCUGUGGCUCAACCAUCGAAUUGCCGUUGAAACUGGGGGGCUUGAGUAUGUUUGAGGCAGGUGGAAUGCGUGGUGUAGCGUUGAAAUGCUUAGAUAUCACGCAGAACCCCGAUUGCGAAGGCAGCCUGCCAAGCCAUGACUGACGCUGAUGCACGAAAGCGUGGGGAUCAAACAGGAUUAGAUACCCCUGUAGUC
rnacentral:rRNA from 1 species